UACGUAGGUGGCAAGCGUUGUCCGGAAUUAUUGGGCGUAAAGCGCGCGCAGGCGGUCCUUUAAGUCUGAUGUGAAAGCCCACGGCUCAACCGUGGAGGGUCAUUGGAGACUGGGGGACUUGAGUGCAGGAGAGAAGAGUGGAAUUCCACGUGUAGCGGUGAAAUGCGUAGAGAUGUGGAGGAACACCAGUGGCGAAGGCGACUCUUUGGCCUGUAACUGACGCUGAGGCGCGAAAGCCAGGGGAGCGAACGGG
rnacentral:rRNA from 1 species